ACUGGGGGGUUCCUGCCUUUUAGCUCUGAUGGCAUUCAGCCAGCUUUCAGUUCUCCACGGUGCGGGGAACAACCAGGGCUUUUCGGGCAGUGCGGAGCAGCAGAUGGUGGGCAGAGCUUCCAGCACCCUAUUGCUGAAGGACCUCACUGAAGCACUGAAUCUCCUUACUCUCUGGUUCUAAACUUCUGCUCCGAGGCAAACAAGG